rnacentral:misc_RNA from 1 species
CCAUGAAGGAGCUAUGAUGAAAUACGAGAAAGCCAUCAAAUUGCUUCCCACGAAUCAUAUAGAUGUAUCUUGUCUUAGGAGUAACAUGGCUGCAUGUUAUAUCCAGAUGGGCGUGGAUGAAUACCCUAGGGCCAUACAUGAGUGUAAUUUGGCACUGCAAGUCACACCAAAGUUUAGUAAAGCACUGUUAAAGAGGGCCAGGUGUUAUGAGGCUUUGAAUAAGCUGGAUUUGGCUUUGAAAGAUGUUACUACAGUUUUGAAAAUGGAACCAAAUAAUGUUAUGGCAAUAGAGAUUGCAGAAAGG